ACGCUCGACACCUACGGAGGCAGCAGUGGGGAAUAUUGGGCAAUGGGCGCAAGCCUGACCCAGCAACGCCGCGUGAAGGAAGAAGGCUUUCGGGUUGUAAACUUCUUUUCUCAGGGACGAAGGAAGUGACGGUACCUGAGGAACAAGCCACGGCUAACUACGUGCCAGUAGCCGCGGUAAUCUGAGCGGGCGUGGCGAAGGC
rnacentral:rRNA from 1 species